CUCAUCCAAAAUGUCCUGGAAAAACAAAAGAAAUGAAGAGUAUCUGUCUAUGCCACAACAAAGAAUCAAAUGUGCAAUCUCAAAAUGGGGCCGCUCAGCCUCAAGAGGACUGCGUGGCGUUUCCCGUCAGCCAGCUGGAUAUUGUUGAAGAUCACAGAGUUUAACCUUCCAUCACUCCUCAAAUAACGGAGGGCAGCUAGU